rnacentral:rRNA from 1 species
UACGUAGGGUGCAAGCGUUGUCCGGAAUUAUUGGGCGUAAAGAGCUCGUAGGCGGUCUGUCGCGUCGGCUGUGAAAACCUGGGGCUCAACUCCGGAUCUGCGGUGGGUACGGGCAGACUAGAGUGCAGUAGGGGAGACUGGAAUUCCUGGUGUAGCGGUGAAAUGCGCAGAUAUCAGGAGGAACACCGAUGGCGAAGGCAGGUCUCUGGGCUGUAACUGACGCUGAGGAGCGAAAGCAUGGGGAGCGAACAGG